rnacentral:pre_miRNA from 1 species
CUGUAUGUGGGGAAGCAGAUCCUGGAGCAUCUCCACCAUGGUCUGGACCCAUCUCCUUCUCACCCUCCUCACUCUCUGUUCAGGUGA